rnacentral:tRNA from 1 species
UCGGGGCUCGUCUAAUGGUAGGACAGUGGACUCUGAAUCCACUAAUUGGGGUUCGAUUCCCUGGCCCCGAGCCA